GACGAACGCUGGCGGCGUGCCUAAUACAUGCAAGUAGAACGCUGAAGGAGGAGCUUGCUUCUCUGGAUGAGUUGCGAACGGGUGAGUAACGCGUAGGUAACCUGCCUGGUAGCGGGGGAUAACUAUUGGAAACGAUAGCUAAUACCGCAUAACAGUAGAUAUCGCAUGAUAUCUACUUGAAAGGUGCAAUUGCAUCACUACCAGAUGGACCUGCGUUGUAUUAGCUAGUUGGUGAGGUAACGGCUCACCAAGGCGACGAUACAUAGCCGACCUGAGAGGGUGAUCGGCCACACUGGGACUGAGACACGGCCCAGACUCCUACGAGAGGCAGCAGUAGGGAAUCUUCGGCAAUGGACGGAAGUCUGACCGAGCAACGCCGCGUAAGUGAAGAAGGUUUUCGGAUCGUAAAGCUCUGUUGUAAGAGAAGAACGAGUGUGAGAGUGGAAAGUUCACACUGUGACGGUAUCUUACCAGAAAGGGACGGCUAACUACGUG
rnacentral:rRNA from 1 species